rnacentral:rRNA from 1 species
GACAGAGGGUGCAAGCGUUGCUCGGAAUCACUGGGCGUAAAGCGCACGUAGGCGGGUCCUUAAGUCCGGGGUGAAAUCCCGGAGCUCAACUCCGGAACUGCCUUUGAUACUGGGGAUCUUGAGUCCGGAAGAGGUGAGUGGAACUCCGAGUGUAGAGGUGAAAUUCGUAGAUAUUCGGAAGAACACCAGUGGCGAAGGCGGCUCACUGGUCCGGUACUGACGCUGAGGUGCGAAAGCGUGGGGAGCAAACAGG